rnacentral:rRNA from 1 species
AGAGUUUGAUCCUGGCUCAGGACGAACGCUGGCGGCGUGCCUAAUACAUGCAAGUAGAACGCUGAAGAGAGGAGCUUGCUCUUCUUGGAUGAGUUGCGAACGGGUGAGUAACGCGUAGGUAACCUACCUUGUAGCGGGGGAUAACUAUUGGAAACGAUAGCUAAUACCGCAUAACAAUGAAUGACCCAUGUUAUUUAUUUGAAAGGGGCAAUUGCUCCACUACAAGAUGGACCUGCGUUGUAUUAGCUAGUAGGUGAGGUAACGGCUCACCUAGGCGACGAUACAUAGCCGACCUGAGAGGGUGAUCGGCCACACUGGGACUGAGACACGGCCCAGACUCCUACGGGAGGCAGCAGUAGGGAAUCUUCGGCAAUGGGGGCAACCCUGACCGAGCAACGCCGCGUGAGUGAAGAAGGUUUUCGGAUCGUAAAGCUCUGUUGUAAGUCAAGAACGAGUGUGAGAGUGGAAAGUUCACACUGUGACGGUAGCUUACCAGAAAGGGACGGCUAACUACGUGCCAGCAGCCGCGGUAAUACGUAGGUCCCGAGCGUUGUCCGGAUUUAUUGGGCGUAAAGCGAGCGCAGGCGGUUUGAAAAGUCUGAAGUUAAAGGCUGUGGCUCAACCAUAGUUCGCUUUGGAAACUGUCAAACUUGAGUGCAGAAGGGGAGAGUGGAAUUCCAUGUGUAGCGGUGAAAUGCGUAGAUAUAUGGAGGAACACCGGUGGCGAAAGCGGCUCUCUGGUCUGUAACUGACGCUGAGGCUCGAAAGCGUGGGGAGCGAACAGGAUUAGAUACCCUGGUAGUCCACGCCGUAAACGAUGAGUGCUAGGUGUUGGAUCCUUUCCGGGAUUCAGUGCCGCAGCUAACGCAUUAAGCACUCCGCCUGGGGAGUACGA